rnacentral:rRNA from 1 species
AUUGAACGCUGGCGGCAUGCUUUACACAUGCAAGUCGAACGGCAGCACGGGGGCAACCCUGGUGGCGAGUGGCGAACGGGUGAGUAAUAUAUCGGAACGUACCCGGAAAUGGGGGAUAACGUAGCGAAAGUUACGCUAAUACCGCAUAUGCCCUGAGGGGGAAAGCGGGGGAUUCGCAAGAACCUCGCGUUUUCGGAGCGGCCGAUAUCGGAUUAGCUAGUAGGUGAGGUAAAGGCUCACCUAGGCGACGAUCCGUAGCUGGUCUGAGAGGACGACCAGCCACACUGGAACUGAGACACGGUCCAGACUCCUACGGGAGGCAGCAGUGGGAAUUUUGGACAAUGGGCGCAAGCCUGAUCCAGCCAUGCCGCGUGAGUGAAGAAGGCC